UUGAUUCUAAGGCCAUCGGGAGAAGCGUUGUUAAGGAACUCGGCAAAUUGACCCCGUAACUUCGGAAUAAGGGGUGCUCACGCGAGUGAGCCGCAGUGAAUAGGUCCAGGCAACUGUUUAUCAAAAACACAGCUCUCUGCUAAAUCGUAAGAUGACAUAUAGGGGGUGACACCUGCCCGGUGCUGGAAGGUUAAGAGGAGGGGUGCAAGCUCCGAAUUGAAGCCCCAGUAAACGGCGGCCGUAACUAUAACGGUCCUAAGGUAGCGAAAUUCCUUGUCGGGUAAGUUCCGACCCGCACGAAUGGUGUAAUGAUCUGGACACUGUCUCAACAACGCACCCGGCGAAAUUGUAGUACCGGUGAAGAUGCCGGUUACCCGCGGCAAGACGGAAAGACCCCAUGGAGCUUCACUGUAGCCUGAUAUUGGGUCUCGGUAUUUUAUGUACAGGAUAGGCGGGAGACUUGGAAACCAGCACGCCAGUGUUGGCGGAGUCACCCUUGGGAUACCGCUCUUAAAGUAUUGAGAUUCUAACCUGCAGCCAUGAAUCUGGCUGGGGGACAUUGUCAGGUGGGCAGUUUGACUGGGGCGGUCGCCUCCAAAAGAGUAACGGAGGCGUUCAAAGGUUCACUCAGCAUGGACGGAAACCAUGCCUUAGAGUGCAAACGCAUAAGUGAGCCUAACUGCGAGACUGACGGGUCGAGCAGUAACGAAAGUUGGAGUUAGUGAUCCGGCGGUAUGUGAGUGGAAAUGCCGUCGCUCAACGGAUAAAAGCUACCCUGGGGAUAACAGGCUGAUCUCCCCCAAGAGUCCACAUCGACGGGGAGGUUUGGCACCUCGAUGUCGGCUCAUCACAUCCUGGGGCUGAAUUCGGUCCCAAGGGUUCGGCUGUUCGCCGAUUAAAGCGGUACGCGAGCUGGGUUCAGAACGUCGUGAGACAGUUCGGUCCCUAUCUGUCGUGGGCGUAGGAUAUUUGAAGGGCGCUGUUCCUAGUACGAGAGGACCGGAAUGGACGCACCGCUGGUGUAUCGGUUGUCAUGCCAAUGGCACGGCCGAACAGCUAUGUGCGGAUGGGAUAAACGCUGAAAGCAUCUAAGCGUGAAGCCCUCCCUAAGAUAAGAUAUCCCACUGUUUACAGUUAAGACCCCUUAUGGACUAUGAGGUUGAUAGGCUGCGUGUGUAAGUAUGGUGACAUAUUUAGCUAGGCAGUACUAAUAGGUCGAGGGCUUGAUC
rnacentral:rRNA from 1 species